UACGUAGGGGGCUAGCGUUGUCCGGAAUCAUUGGGCGUAAAGAGCGCGUAGGCGGCUAGAUAAGUCCGGUGUGAAAGUCACAGGCUCAACCUGUAAAUGCCGCUGGAAACUGUCUGGCUAGAGUCCGGAAGGGGCGAGUGGAAUUCCUGGUGUAGCGGUGAAAUGCGCAGAUAUCAGGAGGAACACCAAUGGCGAAGGCAGCUCGCUGGGACGGUACUGACGCUGAGGCGCGAAAGCGUGGGGAGCAAACAGG
rnacentral:rRNA from 1 species